GAUGAACGCUGGCGGCGUGCCUAAUACAUGCAAGUCGAGCGAACAGACGAGGAGCUUGCUCCUCUGACGUUAGCGGCGGACGGGUGAGUAACACGUGGAUAACCUACCUAUAAGACUGGGAUAACUUCGGGAAACCGGAGCUAAUACCGGAUAAUAUAUUGAACCGCAUGGUUCAAUAGUGAAAGACGGUUUUGCUGUCACUUAUAGAUGGAUCCGCGCCGCAUUAGCUAGUUGGUAAGGUAACGGCUUACCAAGGCAACGGUGCGUAGCCGACCGGAGGGGGUAAUCGGCCACCUUGGAAUUGGGACACGGUCCUGACUCCUACGGGAGGCAGAAGUAGGGAAUCUUCCGCAAUGGGCGAAAUCUUGACGGAGCAACGCAGCGUGAGUGAUAAAGGUCUUCGGAUCGAAAAACUCUGUUAUUGGGGAAGAACAAAUGUGUAGGUAACUAUGCACGUCUUGACGGUACCUAAUCAGAAAGCCACGGCUAACUACGUG
rnacentral:rRNA from 1 species